rnacentral:misc_RNA from 1 species
GAUGAAGAACGUAGCGAAAUGCGAUAAGUAAUGUGAAUUGCAGAGUUCAGUGAAUCAUCGAAUCUUUGAACGCACAUCGCGCCCGUCAGUAUUCUGACGGGCAUGCCUGUCCGAGCGUCAUUUCAACCCUCAAGCACUGCUUGGCGUUGGCGGAUUGCGUGCCCUCGCGGCGCUGCAACCGCCCAAAUACAGUGGCGGUCCCGCUGCGGCUCCCUUUGCGUAGUAACUCACCUCGCACUGGACCGGGCGGCGGCCUGCCGUAAAACCCCAACUCACGAAAUGUUGACCUCGGAUCAGGUAGGAAUACCCGCUGAACUUAAGCAUAUCAAUAAGCGGAGGA